CAGUAGCCGCGGGAAUACGAGGGGGGCAAGCGUUGUUCGGAAUUAUUGGGCGUAAAGGGCGCGUAGGCGGUCUGACAAGUCUUAUGUGAAAUCUCUGGGCUCAACCCAGAGUCUGCAUGGGAAACUGUCGGGCUUGAGUAUGGGAGAGGUGAGUGGAAUUUCCGGUGUAGCGGUGAAAUGCGUAGAUAUCGGAAGGAACACCUGUGGCGAAAGCGGCUCACUGGACCAUAACUGACGCUGAGGCGCGAAAGCUAGGGGAGCAAACAGGAUUAGAUACCCCCGUAGUCCCUGUCUCUUAUAC
rnacentral:rRNA from 1 species